rnacentral:rRNA from 2 species
AGUCGAGCGAACUGAUUAGAAGCUUGCUUCUAUGACGUUAGCGGCGGACGGGUGAGUAACACGUGGGCAACCUGCCUGUAAGACUGGGAUAACUUCGGGAAACCGAAGCUAAUACCGGAUAGGAUCUUCUCCUUCAUGGGAGAUGAUUGAAAGAUGGUUUCGGCUAUCACUUACAGAUGGGCCCGCGGUGCAUUAGCUAGUUGGUGAGGUAACGGCUCACCAAGGCAACGAUGCAUAGCCGACCUGAGAGGGUGAUCGGCCACACUGGGACUGAGACACGGCCCAGACUCCUACGGGAGGCAGCAGUAGGGAAUCUUCCGCAAUGGACGAAAGUCUGACGGAGCAACGCCGCGUGAGUGAUGAAGGCUUUCGGGUCGUAAAACUCUGUUGUUAGGGAAGAACAAGUACRAGAGUAACUGCUYGUACCUUGACGGUACCUAACCAGAAAGCCACGGCUAACUACGUGCCAGCAGCCGCGGUAAUACGUAGGUGGCAAGCGUUAUCCGGAAUUAUUGGGCGUAAAGCGCGCGCAGGCGGUUUCUUAAGUCUGAUGUGAAAGCCCACGGCUCAACCGUGGAGGGUCAUUGGAAACUGGGGAACUUGAGUGCAGAAGAGAAAAGCGGAAUUCCACGUGUAGCGGUGAANNGCGUAGAA